rnacentral:rRNA from 1 species
CAAGUCGAGGGGCAUCAGUUUGGUUUGCUUGCAAACCAAAGCUGGCGACCGGCGCACGGGUGAGUAACACGUAUCCAACCUGCCGAUGACUCGGGGAUAGCCUUUCGAAAGAAAGAUUAAUACCCGAUGGCAUAAUUCUUCCGCAUGGUAGAAUUAUUAAAGAAUUUCGGUUAUCGAUGGGGAUGCGUUCCAUUAGUUUGUUGGCGGGGUAACGGCCCACCAAGACUACGAUGGAUAGGGGUUCUGAGAGGAAGGUCCCCACAUUGGAACUGAGACACGGUCCAAACUCC